rnacentral:rRNA from 1 species
GAUGAACGCUGGCGGCGUGCCUAAUACAUGCAAGUCGAGCGAACAGACGAGGAGCUUGCUCCUCUGACGUUAGCGGCGGACGGGUGAGUAACACGUGGAUAACCUACCUAUAAGACUGGGAUAACUUCGGGAAACCGGAGCUAAUACCGGAUAACAUGUUGAACCGCAUGGUUCAACAGUGAAAGACGGUCUUGCUGUCACUUAUAGAUGGAUCCGCGCCGCAUUAGCUAGUUGGUAAGGUAACGGCUUACCAAGGCAACGAUGCGUAGCCGACCUGAGAGGGUGAUCGCCCACACUGGAACUGAGACACGGUCCAGACUCCUACGGGAGGCAGCAGUAGGGAAUCUUCCGCAAUGGGCGAAAGCCUGACGGAGCAACGCCGCGUGAGUGAAGAAGGUCUUCGGAUCGUAAAACUCUGUUAUUAGGGAAGAACAAAUGUGUAAGUAACUAUGCACGUCUUGACGGUACCUAAUCAGAAAGCCACGGCUAACUACGUG